GGGAGCUUCAGUAAGCCAUAGCAGGAUGAGUAAAUUCACAGACAGUGUUAUGGGAGACCUGAAGGGGUGACACCCUGAUACUUAGUCCUGUCAGCUUCUAAAUUCUCAUCCUGAACUUGUCACCCUUCCCCCACCCCAUACCACCAACAGGGGUUUCCUAGGAGACAGGUGCUAAUGAAUUUCAGUACAACACGGUGCAUUCCAGCUUCCCCAGGUAUAAGCCCGGACACUUCUCUUCAGCUAUUUCAUGGAGACUGAGGAUAAAACACAAAGCAAAAAAGGCCUAGAAUGCCCAUGAAAGUGUUUUACGCAAUAAACAGGAGGAAAACGGCCCACCUGCAACAGACACACAGCCUAACGGUGCGAUGACAGCAACGGGUGCGAAGCCAUAGGCUGCGAAGUUCCCCGUCUCUCCCACCGCCAUCAGCAGGACUCCAACCCACCAAAGCACGCUCUUGAAGUAUGGCCUCGGGUGCUCUCGCUGUGCUGACAGAAGAUGAGAAUAUUUCUGGAAGUAAAUCAGAUUUUUCUUUCGAUUUGUUGAAAACCUCUAAUUUGGAAGAAGAUGGUACUUGGUACAGAAAAGAUGUGAUGCAGAGCUUACGUCGUUCCGACAGAUUCCAAGAUGCCACUGCCAUUGCUGCCGCUGUCCUAGUGAGUGUGGGUGGCUGAAAUGAACAAUUCGUGACCAGAGUCCCUUCCCACACAGUUCACAAGGAGGCGGCAAGAGUGCCGAGAGAACUAUUUUGGUCCCAGUCUUGUGGGCGCGACUGUGGAGACUGUUCCUGCUUUUCGAAGGCCUCUGCUUCUUACAGGUUUUCUUUGGGGAUAUCCUGUUCCCUCUGCAGGAUGCCAAGCGUUUGAUCAACCCCCUACCCUCAGCAACAUGGAAAUUUGUCUUCCUCAGUUAAUUUGAAGUAUUCUUUUCUGGUGACACAUCAUUUGAAGCUGGACCUCACCAUGACCCUGGA